rnacentral:lncRNA from 1 species
UCAUCCAUUUUAAUGAAGAAAUUCGAAGUGGAAGAACUAUAAAACAGGGAGGAGAAGAAAAUUCAUAGAAAAAGAUUCCUAGCUCGGAUUUUGACGUUCUAUAGCUUGUUUCGAAGAGCUUGACAAGGGCUGCGAUUUGAGUGGUAAGGUUCUUGAUUUCCUCUGCAAUAACAUGUUCAUAAAUGGCUUCGAUUAUAGCUUGUUUAUACUUACAUAAUUCUAUAAGUAUUAAGUUAGCUACAUGAUGGGUUUGUUGUGGAAGCUUGUAAGAUGAAAGUUCUUGACUUGUGUAUGGAACAACAAGGCUGGGUAUAUAGAGUAUGAUGAUAUUAAGUUGAUAUAAUUGCUUGGGUAAGCCUAUAACAUGAGUUUAACCACGGAAACGUUAAGAUUAUAGCCGUUAUGCUGGCCGAUUUACAAGAGACAGCUACUGUUACUGUUCACCUGUGAGUCUUCACUUCGAAUUUAUGAAGUUACUUUAUAUGGUUGGAUAGAUCUUGAUUAGUAGAUCGCGUGAGCGCUUGAAUCAUGCAAAACGGAUUUACGGUUUAGAAAUUAUGGCCAUUUUAGUACAGGACGCGCAGAAUCUUAGUUUCCGUAAGAAAAUGAACUUUGAGGUUACAAUUCGGUUAGUUCAAAGAUGAUAUAAAUCAUGGAAUAAUUUGAGUAAAUACUAGGGACAAAUUGGGAGGUAUAUGAGUUGGUUUCGUGAUAAAAACUCGAAUGGUUUAUAAGUGAAAAAUGUCGGAACCUAAAGAUGUAAAUAGUAACAAUACGUGAGACGAGAAACAGUUAGUACCAGAUCUCUUUAAAAUGAAAGGAUUAACAAUAAGAGUAAUUAGAAGGGACUUUAAGGGUAGGUAACACAUACACAAACUAUGAUAUAGAGUUAUAAAGGAUCUUAAUGAUUAAUUAUGUCCUUUAUAGGUGCACAGAAAGGUGCAGAAGGACCUUAAGGACAGGAAGUUGUGAUUGAGUUGCUGAAGUAAGGUGAGUAUACAUCAACACUACUUAUAUCUAUGUGAUAUGUGAAUUACGUGCUUUUAUAUGCUGAAAGUGAUAUAUUAGAAUAUUGAUUUGACUAUGUGAUUCUAUACAUGACUGAAGUUCUUUGAUGUCAACGUAGUGUGAUGAUAUAUCAAAGUACAUGUAUAUAUGGAAUGUGUAUUGACCUGUGAUUUCACGAACGAUACAUUAACAUAGAGUCUGCAUAUAGAACAGGUCAUAUGCACACCCUACAUUCAUUUGAUAGUGAUAAAUUAAAAAGUCAAAGUGACAGUCACUUGUGUAAUGGCCACCUUUAUAUAUGGAACCUACGGGUAAUUACGGAGCAGACUAUAUGUCAGCCAUAGACGGGGCCGACUUGUGUCGGACAUAGACGGAGCCGAUUUCCAUAGUCGGACAUAGACGGAGCUGGCCAGACACACAUGGAUCCUUUGAGGACAUGUGGAAACACGGGCAUUAUACAGUGAACUGUGCACAAUAGCCAAAGAAAGAGAAACAGAGAUGCAUGCAUGCAUAGAUACAAGUUCUUACUUUCAUGGCAUAUAUGAUUAACAUAUGUCAGUGCUUUAUGAAUAAGUAAAACAUAUAUGUGAUGAUGUUAUACCUUGGUGUAAUUUGGAUGAUGAUAAUAUUAUGAAUGAAAGAUAUUAAUUGCUCUCAUAAAUACGAACAGGAAAUAUAUAUUAAAAUGAAUAUUUUCUUACAAUUGUUUCGAGAACCUUACUUUCUUUUAUUUUCUGGAAGAUUUUACAAAGACGCUACAAGUUAUUUUCGGACAAUCUCAGUAUCUUUUACAAACUAAAGUUGAUGUAUAUUCAUUGAGUUGCGACUCAUGGAAAUCGCUCAAUUUUUCCAGGAUAUGAAUAGUUAGUAGUGUGUUUUAUAUGAGUGCUCAGUGGAGAUUGUAGAUAGUGCCUAAGAGACGGUGGUCCAGCAGGAUGCUCCAGACUCCUCCAUCAGCCGAUGCACAUAUAUGUAGUUUGAGAGAUUGUGUUUAUGUACUCUAGACUUAUCAAGUGUGCAAGAAAUCACGAAGAUAAAUUUAUGUUUAAAUUCUGAAUAUGUGUGGUGAAUAUGGAUGAUGGAAAUGUAUUGAAAUUUUAUGUUGCUUGGUAAAUGUUGUUGAAGUAGUUGAGAUUUUAUGUUCUGGUGAAGAUCAAGAUAUAGCCAAGCAAUAGUUGAUGGUUAUAUUAUCCACUUAUACAGGAAAAGAUAUUUCAUAAUAUUAUUAAAUUACAUGAUUUUGCUAGAAGUGCAUGAAAAUGAUUAUAUGGUACAAUGGUGUUACAUAAAAUGCCAAAGGGGAUUAUUGAGGAUGUGUUGAUAAAAAUCGGUGAUUUUAUCUUUCCCGUUGACUUUGUUGUUCUCGAGACUCAACCCGUCUCGAAUCCUAAGAACCAAAUUCCUAUAAUUUUAGGACGGCCUUUUCUUGCUACAUCUAAUGCCUUAAUUAAUUGUAGGAAUGGUUCGAUGAAGCUCACUUUUGGAAACAUGACCAUUGACUUAAACAUUUUCAAUGUAGGAAAAGAACCCAAUGAGCUUUAUGAACAACCGAUAGGGGUUAAUGUGGUCAACAAGUUUGUCACAUGGUCUAGUUUCGAGGAUAGUGAAAUUGAGUCACUUCUUAAUGAGGAUUUCAAAGUCAACAAUGAGAAUAAUAAAGAAUAUCACGAGUCUUUGAGAAAGUUGACCUCGGAGGAGUUGUUAGGAGAAUUGAACGACAUUUGUUCAAAAUGGGAAACUCCACCCGAGAUCGUGAGUGUUGACCCUAGGCCCGAUUAUGAGAGUCGUGGAGGUGAAUCACCGACACUUGACUCGUUGUUCCAUCAUUCGCAUAGCGCCAUAGGAAAGGAUGACAUCAUUUCUUACAUCAUUCCUAGUGAUUUAUCCUAUGACCAAGAUUGCAUAGUCUCUAAUUUGCUUGAUAAUAAAGAAGCAUUAAGUUGGUUUAGGAAGAACAUUAGUGAUGCUUGUCCUAUAAGGGUGAACAAUGGUCACAUGCUAGAGAAAGUCUUUGUGCCUAAAAAUUUUCGUACACAUUUUGACUCUUUCUCGAAGCUUCCUCCCAUAUUUCCUUCCGGAAUCGGCUGAAGUGGUUCCUCCUUCGAACCUUCCCUCGUGAAAUUCAAGUAUGGGGAAGGAAAUGUGUGAGUGCGUGAGUCGUGUUAGUGUUUCGUUCGUUAAUAAAAAUCCCCUUCAUAUCCAUUUCAGGUAUCUUAUAUUACUAAAACGGGAUCGUGCACUUGCGAUUAAUUUCAAAAUCUUAUUUUGAGCACAUCAAGUUUUUGGGGCUUUAGUGUAAUUCUAAAAAAAUGAAAACCCUAAAAAAUGAAAAAUUAGAAAAAUCCAAAAAUAGAGAUUCUUUUAGCUAAGUUGUCUUUCCCUCACUCGAACUUUAGGAGUAGUUGGUGUUUAUCAUGUUUUCGAAAAGUAUAUAUAUGUAGUGUCUUUUAGAUAAUUUGAACGUAGUUGAGUAAGGUUGUCUUUUUGAAGCUUGUAUCGACCGAUUUGUACUCUAAAUUCCAAGAUUGCACACACUUUGCACGAGACCUUUGAUGGAGAGAUUGUCUAGUGAUAUUAUUCGAUACCUGAGAGAGAACCCACAUGUUGAAACGAUGUCGAAUCGAACCUUUGCGAAUAAAAAAAAAUAGAAAAAAAAAGAUAGAAAAAGAAAAAAAAAAGAAUAACUACUUCAAUACCCAUUGUUCUUUAUAGAUAAAAUCUUUAGAUAAAUGGGCAAAAGUAGAUUGGCUAGUCUCGUUUUGUGGCCUUUGUUACUCGAGCAAUUAAGUCCGUAGGGGGAUUUCAAAACCUAGUGCCCUAAGACCGUUUGGUUUGGGAGUCACUGACCCAAAGCUCGCUACAUGGGUAACAUUGUUUGCCUAAGAAAACGGACAAAAUAAAGUCAAUGCAAAAAAAAAAAGAAAAAAAGAAAAAAAGAAAAAAAAAGAAAGAAGAAUAAGAGUUUGUGAAGUUUGGCUAGAUAUUUGUUUCGAUAGAGAUUGGGUCAGUUCAAAAUUGGUUGAAAAAGAGAAAGUGUUCUUAGACAAUUAGGAUCCAUCAAAGGCCUUAAAUUGUAGUGCAACAGAUCCAUCAAAGGCCUUAAAUUCAUUACACACCUUGGAUUUCUAGUAAAAAAUUUUUUUGUGUCGAUUCAAGUAGAUUAGAGACAACUUAAUCUUGAUUAUUAGUAAAAGAGUCUUUAAGUCGUAUUUUCCUUAAAAACGCUUUUUGUUAACACCAACGAAAUUAGAGUAGAGUCGAGUAGACACUUGCUAGAAUGUCUCGAAGAUUUUAUGGGUAUAAUUUAAAAGCUGAUGAAGGCAUUUUUGUAGGUUAUCCUCUGACAUUGUAGAGAUCGUCUACGAGUUUAACGGGUUGGUGAACCUAAAAUCAUUCGUCACGCCUACGAAAAGGAGCCUAGGAAUCGCAUCUAGUUUUCAUAGUUUAUUUUCCUUUCUUUUUGAUUUUACUCGAGGACGAGCAAAAUAUAGGUAUGGGGAAGUUUGAUAAGUGCAUAUUUUUAUAUAUUUUAAAUGCCUAAUUAUUGCUUGUUCUCACUUAUUUAUUUGUUUAUUUGUCUUUUUUUUAGGAAAAUUGCAAAAGCUUGAAGAAAUAAAAGAAUAAAGCAAAAAGAAGAAAAAGAUGGAAGAAAAGGAUCAUAGGGGAAUAUUCUCAUGGGAAGCAUCUAGAUGGGACACCUACACCCCCUCUACCCUAAUUUCCCCUAUAAAUACACACAUCCCCAUCAUGUUCCAACCAACCUAGGAUUUUCUCUUUUUAGUAGCCUCUCUUUUUGUAGUCUAGAUCUAGUUUUAAUUUGUAAUGCUCUCUUCUCCUUUUGUAAACACUUUAUUAUUUUAAUGCAAGAUUCAACUUUGUUCUUACAUUUGUGUUCUUUAUGUUUCCUUGGGCUAUGAAAUCUUCCUCUAACUACAAAAGAACUCAAAUUUGUUUGUAGAUUGGAAGGAGCCUCUAAUAUAGUUAAUUAGUCCUAGAUUUAAUUUUUGAGAAAUAGCUAAGCUUUGACACAAAAUCAAUUUGUGUGAAAGUUUAACUUUAAAUUUCCAGAUUACUAUUCACUAAAAUUCGGCAGUUUAUCUCAUUUAACACCAUCAGCAUCCAUUUUAGUUUAAUUUAUUUACACACUCGUUUGGUAGUUGUUUUAUAAUUAAGAAAAAGGAGCCCUGUUUUGUUGAAAACCCAAAACCCUCUCCCCUGUUUUCUAAUCAAACCCAGUACCCUCAUUCCUUUCUUUUUCUCGUUGCUGUGUGUUCUUUCGACCCCUGCUGCUCUCCUCUUUCAAAUCGCGAGUUGCCGAGUCAUGACUCUGCGUUACCGAGUUCAGUUAAUUGAUGUGCUGCGUUUUUGGUUGCUUGUGGCUUGAAUCUUGUCUUUGUAGUGUCGAGUUUAGCUGCUAAUUUCCUUUCGUUCCCUGCUUAUAGUUGAGUUGUUGUUGCUGCGUUUUGUUAGUAGUUUAGCUGAGCCAAGUUUCGUUUUAUUUGCUCUGUUUUCAUUGAGUCUCGAGUUUGUCGAGUCCUGCUGUGAUGUCGCUUUGUUCCUCGAGUCGCUACUGAGUCACGCGCUGAGUCAGUCCGAGUCACACUACUCUGUUUUGUUUUCAGCCUUGUUAAUUCCGAGUUUUGCUGCGUGAGUUCCGAGUGGUGCAGUCCAAAUCGAGUGCUUAUUUCUGUUUACAGCUUCGUUUUUGUUGUGAGUUUAGUCCGAGUAAUAGUCUAGUCAUGAGUGCUGCGUUUUCACGAGUUCUGUGCUUUGAAAUCAACUGCUGGGUUUUGUAGUUUUUAGUUUCAGCCGAGUCAAUAUCUUUAGUAUGGCUUUUGUUUUGUCUGUGAUUCCGGGUCUCGUAUAGUUUUCGUCGAGGUUGUUUGGGAGUCGAGUUAGUGUUUUGUUGCGUCAUUGCUUUAGGCUGAAUCUCACUUUACUUUGGUUGUGUGUAUAGGAUUUAUCUCAGCAUUUUGUGUGACUUGAUUUACCGGUGUGUUUUGGUUAUAAAUUUGUUUCGACUCAAAUUAAAUCAAUUUAAGCCUGCUUAUUUUUCUUUCAUUUGCUUUUGUUAGUUUCGAGUAAUGUUAACUUGUAAUAAGAUGUUAGGUUUGAUUUGUCAAAUGGUCACUUAGUUAUAAUAAAAUCUUGUCUAUUAAUUACUGGCCAAGUAGAUAGAUUAGUCCGUAUUUGUAUAAACAUUUAUCUUAAAUAAUUUAAUGUCUCUUAAUCAAUUUCGGUUGGCUAGUAAUUAGAUAGUUUAAAUUAAUUUAAUAAUUUUAGAUGAAAUUUUAGAAAAGAUACACACCCUCUCAUUCACUUAAUCGUUCUAAUUCGCCUAGAUUUAAAGUAAAGGAUUUGUGAAUAAUUUUAAUCUCUGUGGACGAAUCAUAAAUAUUAAAACGGUGAUCGUGCGCUUGCGAUUUAAAUGUUUUAUUUCUAGCACAUCAAGUUUUUGGCGCCGCUGCCGGGGAUUAUAAUUAAUUUUUC